rnacentral:rRNA from 1 species
GACGAACGCUGGCGGCGUGCUUAACACAUGCAAGUCGAACGGUGAAGCGAGUGCUUGCACUCGUGGAUCAGUGGCGAACGGGUGAGUAACACGUGAGUAACCUGCCCAUCACUCUGGGAUAAGCACUGGAAACGGUGUCUACUACUGGAUACGACCAACCCUUGCAUGGGGUGUUGGUGGAAAGAUUUAUCGGUGAUGGAUGGACUCGCGGCCUAUCAGCUUGUUGGCGGGGUAAUGGCCCACCAAGGCGACGACGGGUAGCCGGCCUGAGAGGGUGACCGGCCACACUGGGACUGAGACACGGCCCAGACUCCUACGGGAGGCAGCAGUGGGGAAUAUUGCACAAUGGGCGAAAGCCUGAUGCAGCGACGCCGCGUGAGGGAUGACGGCCUUCGGGUUGUAAACCUCUUUCAGCAGGGAAGAAGCGAAAGUGACGGUACCUGCAGAAGAAGCACCGGCUAACUACGUG